rnacentral:lncRNA from 1 species
AUAGAGCAUCCCUGAGGGCUACCGGUUGCCCAUUUUUAUGGUUAUUUCUUGAUUAUAUGCCAAACAAGGGGUGGAUUAUUCAUGCCUCCCCUUUUGAGACCAUAUAGGAUGACUUCUUGACAUUGCCAUGGCAUCGUAAACUGUCAUGGCUCUAAUGGUAGUGUAGCAGUGAGGAUAAACAGAGGUCACUCUUAUCGUCAUCUCAGUUUUGGUGGGUUUUAGCCAGCUUCUUUAUUGCAACCUAUUUUAUCAGUAAGGUCUUUAUUAUCUGUAUUUUGCUGACCUCCUAUCUCAUCCUGUGGCUUAGAACGCCUUAACCUCCUGGGAAUGCAGCCCAGGAGGUCUCAGCCUUAUUUUACCCAGCCCCUAUUCAAGAUGGAGUUGCUCUGGUUCAAACGCCUCUGACAAACGGGGAACUGAAACAGCAGAGAGACUGAGUUACAGCGAAGGAAUGAGGAUGGAGAUGGGGGGCAGGAGGACCAUUACAACACUCACUAGUGAGGGCUGCUAGUGCCCUCUUAGGUAGACUUGUCCCUCCCAAGUCUAAGGGACCUACUUGGACCUCCCAUUUGGUAAGUCUCUGGGUUUCUCCUCUGCCAGCCUUGCCAGCCCUGCCCUGGUCCCCUGUAACCCCAUUCAGAGGCCCCUGGGGUAGUUAAAAGCCCACCUUUGUGUUGACAAAAAGAGUUAAACUCUGUAAAAUAUUUGAAGAGAUUUAUUCUGAGCCAAAUGUAAGUGAACAUGGCCUGUGACACAGCCCUCAGGAGACCCUGAGAACAUGUGCUCCAGGUGGUCGGGGAACAGCGUGGUUUUAUACAUUUUAGGGAGACAUGAGAGAUCAAUCAAAUACAUUUAAGAUAUACAUUGGUCCUGUCCAGAAAGGCAAAACAACUUGAUGUGGGGGCUUCUAGAUUAUAGGUAGAUAUAACAAUUUUCUGAUUGGCAAUUGGUUGAAAGAGUAAUUAUCGAUAGAAAGGAAUUUGAACUCAUAGUCCUUUCUUCUUGCAAGAGUUCCUGUAAGAAAAAAAAUAAAACAACACCAAAAACACUAAUCACAGGAAAACUCCAAAGCUUUAGGUGCAACAUGGUGGGGAAGUUAAAAGCACAGCUUGGAAGUCAGGCUUCUUGGGUUGCUGACCCUGGUCUACAACUAUGUAGCUUCUACAGCUUGGUGCUAUAGUCUGAAUGUCUGUGUCCCCUGAAAGUUUAUAUGUUGAAACCUAAUGAAUGUGAAAAUUGCAGAUACCAGGAUGAAAUCACUUUUCAUCCUAGCUCAUGCUUACAUGUCUGAAAUGAGAACUGUUUCCAAGGACUUUCUAAAAACGUUUUUAUGUCCUUCAUGUAUCUCUCGCUUUGCUAGAUCCCUAGAUGUUCUCCAGGACUGCUGUUAUUCAGAUAAGAUGUUUUCAGAACACUUGCCCAGUGAUGGCAUCUCUACCAAUGAACUGACAGCAACUCUGGCUUUGAAUCUCUGGAACCAAUUAACUUUGUUCCACAGGAGGAAUCUCAGAUAAGACUUUCUUAAAGCCAUGCCCAGCCAUGGAUUUGUGCCAUCAAAUACUUAUAAAUUGGGUGAAUUUCCUCUCCUCUUGAGGUUCUGAGGUAAACCUGGGGCUUAUGUGCCUGUCAGAAAGUGACAUUCUUUACUUACUACAGGUCAGAAAUCUUGUACGGAGACUGUGUACACAAAAUAUGGGGCCAGUUUUUCCAAGGACUUUAUUGGUUCCAUAAGUCAAGUUUGAUUCCUUAAAGAAAAGCACACCAUUCCAGUCAAAGUCUUAGUAAAACAACCAAUUUCUCCAAUCGUGUCCUGUUACAAAUUAGAACAGAUUCUUAUUGCACUUAUGCAAAUAACUGUAUCACCAUAAGUUAAGAAUACUUACAAAUAGUUUCUGAAUUCUGGAGAAAUCAGGUAGAGAGAAACAAAUAUGCUCCAAAUUUUGUCAUAGGAGUAUACUAAAUUGUUAAAAGCUGUCAAUAGCUCAAAAGAAAAGUUUUAAGACUGAAACACAAAACAAAGGAUCAGCAAACAUUUUAAGCAAAAAGUCAAAAAGAUUGGUUCAGUCUAUGCAGUUAAUUCCUGUUCUGCUUGAUACUCAUGAACAUUUUAGCUCUCCAUGAGUCCUGAAACUUUUCCCUCUAUUCUGAUGUCACAAUCUCCAAAGUUAUCAGAAACCUGCAUGUAAGAGCACCUGUUGGAGUUUUACAGCUGAUUAUAAAACCACCUUCUAAAGAGGACCAAAAUAGGCCAGGUGUGUGGCUCACAUCUGUAAUUUCAGCACUUUGAGAGGCCAAGGUGGGCUGAUCACCUGAGGUCAGGAGUUCAAGACCAGCCUGGCCAACAUGGUGAAACCCCAUCUCUACUGAAAAUACAAAAAAAUUAGCUGGGCAUGGUGGUGUAUGCCUGUAAUCCCAGCUACUCGGGAGGCUGAGGCAGGAGAACCGCUUGAACCUGGGAGGUGGCAGUUGCAGUGAGCCAAGAUCGUGCCGCUGCACUCCAGCCUGGGCAACAGAGUGAGUCCCCAUCUCAAAAAUAAUAAUAAAAAUAUAUUUAAAAAAGAGGACCAAAACAACAAUUGUGCAUGGAAGAAAAAAGUUUUAAGGCAGCCAUAGUCAAAAGACAAAACUGACAAGGAAAUUUUUUACCUCUGUGGCACACAAUAAUUUUAAUAUAACAAUUAUGAUUAUUACUGAUAAUGUACACUAAGUUAUAUUAGAAUUAUAGGAGUUUCACAUAAUUUUGGAACAUACACCAAUAACAUAUUUAUACAAAUACAGCCCAAAGAAAACCAAACACCAUUUCACAUUUGACAAUGCUUCCUAUAUAAUUUUUAUACCAAAUAAGCCAAAUUAUGUCAUUUUAGGACUUUAGGGAAACUAAGAUCUUAAAGGAUUAAUUAGGUUAGAAAAAUACAUAAUUUAUAAUUUGAUUUUGGAAAGCUUGUCAAAUACAAAAGGUUUAAAACACUUGACAUUACAAAAUAAAAUUACAGGUCAUCGUAAAGUCAUUUAUUUAAUCCAAGUGAUAAUUCAAGGAUUUCAAAAAAAGCAAAAACCUUCAUUCUUUGAGAGAGGUGACUUAACUUUCUAAACAAGAAGCCCUAAUAAAAACAGCCUGAAGCCAAUCACAUUUGAUUUUCAAAAUUUUGUAAACAAACUAUAAGAUUUAAUCUUGAUUAUAAAAUAUAACUUCCAUAAGCCUUUUAUAACCUUUAUGAAGGAGUUGGUUAAUGCUUCAAGAAAACCUUGCUAAUCAGACACAGGGGUCCAUAUACUGAUUUUGCAUCAGUGUGCCUUUGACUUGAAUGAUUAGUUCAUAGAGAAACUGAACUUACUGGAUCUUUCAAAAUCGGCCCUUACAAUCUUACGCGCCCACCUCUUCCGCAAUAGUCCCUGGGCCUUGAGGAGUUGAAUAGCUUUAAUUUCUUGCCUAGUGCCUCAGGAAUGCAGUUUAUUUUGAUUGGCAUCUUCUACGGGGCCUUAAGAUGAGGCUUUGAUUGUCAUCAGUGUUUGUGAUUUUUCAGACACAGGAGUUAAAGCCCUGUAACUCAAUGUUACAAGGACUUUAAAAGCAUACACAGGAAGAUACAUGGAUGUAAUAACCUUGAUUUUUUAAAAAUUAGCUCUUUCUUCCCUAAGCAAACCAAAACUUAAUAAUAAUAUGACAACUUGAUUAUAUAAAAGCUUUUGGGGUGUGUGUGUGUGUGUGUAUAUAUAUAUAUAAAAUCUUAUCAUGACUUACACCAAUGUUCAUGACAUGCUUGGACUUUCUGGUUUGUCCUGAACAUCCCUCCUUGUUAAACAACCAGUUAUUUUAUUUUAGGACUAAAUUUACCAUAUAAAAUUCUUUCUUAUAUAAAAUUAUUUCUUUUUCAGCUUUUUAACCUUGAAAAAAUUCUUUAUUUUUAUAACUUUAUUUACAUUUUUUUUCUUUUCUGGUUCCUUUUACCUUGUUUUAUAUAUAACCUUUUAAUAAGCUUUGAAUUAGACAAAACUUGUUCACCAUUUUUUUAAAAAAGGACACACUUUUUUUUAAGCAACAAUGUUUUCCUACAAGAUAUAUUUAUUGGAAAAUACCCAAAUAAUAAAUUAUCUAUUAUUUAAUUUAAUAUGACUUUAUAUUCUAAAUUAUGUCCAGUUGGUCUAUAAGUAUUUAUCCCAUUACAUUUACCUAGUUAUUUUAUUAAUUGUUUACCUAGAUUAUUUAUAAAAACUGUGAUAGUCAUGAUUUAAAGUUAUGAAACUUCCAUUGCAAAAUUACAACUGAGACAGUGAAAAACGAUUUGACCUAACUGACUCCACCUUGCUCUUAACUUCCAAGCUGUCCUUGUUCAUUCCUGGGCAUAGGCCGAAUGAACUUUGGGAGGAACCUAGUUUAAGUUCAGCUUCGAAACAAUGACAAUAACAGUCCUUUCCCAAAACAAACCUCCUUAUUGUCUGUGGACUAAACUGCCUAAAGCCACAGGAUUAGAAGUUAUGGUAAUCUUACUAAAUUCAAGAUGCAGCUGUUUUCAUUAAACCCAUAUCAAUGUCUUAUUUAUUAAAAAUUACACAAGCAAAGAUCAUUCUGUUUUGGGCUGGGUUUAUAGUUUUAUAACCCCUAUGCCAAAUUUUGACACCUUCUGGUAUUUGGCAGGGAUAAGUAUAAAACUGUUUGAUUAAUAUAAUGCAAACAAAAAUGUAUGCUGGCAAUUCUUAAGACAUUUCUAAUACUACUUUACCAAUAAUUUUAAAGCUACUUUAUUUAUUAAAGAUUUUACUUAAGUUACAUAAAUUUGAAAAAGCAUUUGACUAGCCUUUUCUUUUUUAGUAUCUGAUUUAAGCACUUUUAUUUUUCUUUAAGCCAAGUAGAGCUCUUUUACAUAUUUUUAGCACUAAAACAUCGUGUACACAACACAUACAUACAUAUAAAGACGUAUUAGGCAUGCCAAUAGAAGUACAUUUUAUAGAUUUAUAAUGCCCCCCCACUUUUUUUUCCUAUCUUAGACUUUCAGAUUCUUGAUAACCUGUUUUACAACCCUAGGCAGUUGUCAGCUAAAUAGCCUUAAAUUUUUGCACAUUAAAGGAAACAACCCAGGUGAAAAUCAAAUAGCAAAAUUUACAUGAUAAGGUACAGAGAGGAAAAGUCUGGUGGUGUUAGAGGGAGAUGCUUUUAUUUUUCUUUGAGCGAUAUUAAACAUAAAACGAAACUACAUUCUUCCUUAACCCAAGAGUAGCCUCUGUUGCAAUAGCUAUUUUAGUCAAAAAAUCCGGUGAAAACAGAAUUCAGUCAACUGAGAAGUAAAAGGAAAAAAAAAAAAAAAACUUUUGCUACAAAAAAAAGACAAGGUCUUAGGAGAGAAAAACAAACAAGAAACAAAAACAUGAAGGCCUUUCAAAUACAAACAUGCACAAAACACACAUCAUGGAUGUUACUGUUUCAGUUAAGCAGACUUUCAACCACUGAGCUUCUUUAAAAACUUAAAAAAAAAAUCUUAUUACCAAAUCUCAGCUAGGACAAAGUGUUGCUAUUUCAGAAGUACAGCCAUUGCUCUUUGAGUUUGGUCUGGCUAGCAAAAAGCUGGCUGUGUUAUGUAAAUAAAGCCCCUAUAGUAAUUAAAAUUUAAAAAAAGUUUUUUAAGCUGGCUGUUUUCCUACCACUUCAGAGUCCUUGACCCCGUAAUUUAGGGUUCCCCUUCAGAUUUGACUAAGACAGAAACAAACAACAAAACAGUUAAGCAAAACUAACAAUGGUCACACAAAUUAUACAAUUUCUGAGUGCUCUAAGUGCAUUGGAAGAAAGCUGAAACUCCAUAAAAACAUCACCUGCCUUCCAUCAUCAUGAAAGCAGGAAAACUUGCCUUCCUUGUUGGGAGCAAGUAAAACUCCAAAAAAAGAGGUGUUGUACAGCAAAAUAAACUUCCGAUCUCUACCAAAUUUUAAGAGAUCAGGGAUUUUCUGGAGGGAGUCCUCUCAGACCUCAGCAAAUUGUCCUAUUGGUUUGAGCCAUAAAGUUAGCUCAUGCUGGUACCAAGCACCGAUAGAUUUGUCAAGGGUCAGGGGCAUCUCCACCCAGAAUCCAUUCAUGGUUUCCAAAAUGUGAACCCAGAAAAUCCGAGACAGGUCUCAGUUAAUUUAGAAAGUUUAUUUUGCCAAGGUUGAGGACACACUGUGACACAGACUCAGGAAGUCCUGAUGACAUGUGGCCAAGAUGGUUGGGGCAUACCUUGGUUUUAUACAUUUUAGGGAGACAUAAGACAUUAAUCAAUAUAUGUAAGAAGAACAUUGGUUCAGUGGGGAGGGAGCUUCCAGGUCACAGAUAGGUGAGACACAAACAGUUGCAUUCUUUUGAGUUUCUGAUUAGCCUUUCCAAAGGAGGCAAUCAGAUAUGUAUCUAUCUCAGUGAGCAGAGAGAUAACUUUGAAUAGAGUGGGAGGUGGGUUUGCCCUAAGAAGUUUCCCUAAGCUUGAGUUUUCCUUAGUGAUUCUGGGGCCCCAAGAUAUUUUCCUGUCACAGUUGACAUCCCCAACACAGUGUUUAGGGCUCAGAAAAAGAUACCCUAAAAUAGGGUGCUUUGGCAUGCUGAGUGCUUUGAAUAAAGGAGACUGAAGGGCCUCAGAAAUAAGAGAACAAAGGUCUAUCUCUGACCCACUGCUGCCCACCUCCCUUCCCUUCCAAAGCACAGGGAGGGAUUUUCUUUGAAGUUCUCUUAUUUGAUUAAGGGAAGUUUCUCCAGAAGGAAGGUAAUUGUCCUGGACACCCCUUCCUGGAAUCUACAUCGAUCAGAGAAGAUUAACUCAUAUUGCAGGACAGGAGAAUAAUUAAAAGUUGCUCAAGACAGCACACCUAGAUAGACUUUUUGCUUAUUCUUUCAACUAUAGUUAUGUGUCCAAUAACAAUGUUUCGGUCAACUGCAUAUACAACCAUGGUUUGAUAAGAUUUAUAGUGGACUUGAAAAAUUCCUAUUGCCUAAUAUACUGAAGGAAGAAAAUGUUUUAAUAUGCAUUUUGUGUACCCUAAGUGUGCUGUGUUUAUAAAGCCUACAGUAGUAUACAGUAAUGCCCUAGGCCUUCACAUUCAUUCACCACUCACUGACUCAUCUGGAGCAACUCUCAGCCCUGCAAGCUCCAUUCGUAGUAAGUGCCCUGUACAGGAGAGCCAAUUCUUAUCUUUUAUGCCAUAUUUUUACUUUCCUUUUUCUCUGUUUACAUAUGUUUAGAUACACAAAUAUUUCCCAUUGUGCUGCAAUUGCCUAUAGUAUUCAGUAGUCACAUGCUGUACAGGUGCGUAGCCUGGGAGCAAUAGGCUCUCCCAUAUAGCCUAGGUAUGCAGUAGGCUAUGCCAUCUAAGUUUUGUAUAAGUACAAUCUGUGAUAAUCACACUACAAUGCAAUUGCCUAAUGACACAUUUAUCAGAAUGCGUCCCUGUCACCAAGAGAUACAUGACUGUAUUCUUCUUCUUUUUUUUUUUUUUUUUUUUUUUUGAGAUGGGGUCUCAUUCUGACACCCAGACUGGAGUGCAGUGGCAUGAUCUUGGCUCACUGCAACCUUUACAGCC